CGCUUUUGUCUCUUUGCGUCUGGCGGCUGCAUUAACGAACUUGAAGGAUGUGGAGCAAAGGACACCGGCGCACCAGGUAUAAACGGGCCAGGCCCGGAAGAG
rnacentral:SRP_RNA from 17 species